AGCGAACGCUGGCGGCAUGCCUAACACAUGCAAGUCGCACGGGGGGGCUUCGGUCUCCCGGUGGCGGACGGGUGAGGAACGCGUAGGGACGUGUCGAGGGGGGGGGUAUAACCGCGGUAAACUCCGGCUAAUACCGCAUGACGCCGCGGCGUGACAGCCGGGGCCAAAGGGGGAAGGCGACCGGCGGGGGGCGUGCGUCCGAUUAGGGGGUUGGCGGGGUAGCGGGGGACCAAGGCGGGGAUCGGGAGCUGGGCUGAGAGGGUGCACAGGCAGACCGGGACUGGGACACGGCCCGGACGCCUACGGGAGGCAGCAGUGGGGAAUAUUGGACUAUGGGCGCAAGCCUGAUCCAGCAAUGCCGCGUGGGUGAAGAAGGUCUUCGGAUUGUAAAGCCCUUUCGGCGGGGACGAUGGUGACGGUACCCGCAGAAGAAGCCCCGGCUAACUUCGUG
rnacentral:rRNA from 1 species